CAUAUUCUUGUUUAUCUUCUGGGGAUAACUUUGCAAGUUUCUCCGGCUUCAUCUCUGCGCGCGUGUGGGAUACUUUGAGCAGAGGUUUCAGGAAUUCCAGGAGAAGAAUAAGCCAUCUUAUUUUUGAAUGUCAGAAACCGGUUUAGCUGAUCACUAUAUAAUUUUGUUUUUUUCCAAGGCGCUAAGCUGUGGCGCUUCCAUGAUUUCUUUCAUUCUCUGUUCUGCAUCAUACAUUGCAUUGACAAGCGGUGGUUGUCGAUAUGACUGUUUUUGUAAAAACUUUGCAAUCUCGCUGGGAAGUAUGUUGGUCUUGAGUCGUUGUUGAUCGUCUGUUGUUGGCUUUAAAUCCAACAUCAAAUAUCCAUGAGGUCGCCUCGUGCCAUCUUCAUAACUCCUCAUAAAUUCUUGUGCUUUCCCGGGAUUUACUUGUCUGGGAAGCAUAGAAAUUUGUUGUUUAUCUCUUGGUGACUUGAACAAUACGAUAUAAUGAGCGUUUAGACUGAUAUUUCUCAUUUAUUUACCUUGAAGAAAUAUAUUUUGAACGAUGUGGAUGAUAGAUAAAUUCCGAUGAUGACUUCCUUUCGCAAAAAAAUCGGACAUACGUUUAUCUUUGCCGGAUUGUGCCAUAAGAUCAUCCAAUACGAUCAAAUCCCGUUGCGAUAAGUCUAAGUAAUCUGCGUUGUCGAUGUCGAUGCCUUGAGUAAACUCGAUUCCAGGCAUUCUCCUCAUCAUUUCAAAAUAGGAGGGUUUCCACUGACCAUAACACCAAAUGAUACGUUGAGGAGGUGGACUUAUAGUUUGCUGUGCUUUCUCCAAGAGAGAUUUCACCCACACAGUCUUGCCGCUUUGUGUACACCAGGCUACGGUACACAAAAACUGAAGAUCCUGCUGAGAUUUCAACUGGUUUGCUUUGAACAUCUCCAUGGGUAUUCAAAGUAUGACGCUUGAGGUUGCCGCGUGGUGAAAAUACUUUGGCACAUAUAUUGCACGGAAAGGACAUGUUCACACCGCGAACGUCUGGCUGCAAGUGAUAAUAAGUUGGCGUAUUCGUUCUAUAUAUUUAUUUAUGCAUCUAUCCACUAUUCUUCCUUAUCUUUACCUUCUUAUCUUAAUCUUCUUUCUCUUUAUUUUCCUUAUCCUUAUCGUCUUAUCUUCUUAUCUUUAUCUUCUUAUCUUAAUCUUCCUUAUCUUUCUCUUCUUUAUCUUUAUCUUCUUAUCUUCCUUAUCAUUAUCUUCAUCUUCCUUAUCCUUAUCCUUAUCUUUAUCUUUCUUAUCCUUAUCUUUAUCUUCCUUAUCCUUAUCUUUAUCUUCCUAAUCCCUAACUUUCUUAUCUUUAUCUUCUUAUUUUUAUCCUUAUCUUUAUCUUCUUAUCUUCCUUAUCCUUGUCUUUAUCUUCCUUAUCCUUGUCUUUAUCUUCCUUAUCCUUAUCCGUAUCUUGAUCUGUAUCUUUAUCUUCCUUAUCCUUAUCUUUAUCUUCUUGUCUUCCUUAUCCUUAUCCUUAUCUUUAUCUUCUUAUCUUCCUUAUCUUUCUUAUCCUUAUCUGACAUGCGCAUGGAGCCAAGUUCGAUAAGCUCAGAGCCGAGCUCUCAAUAGCUCGGAGCCUUGUCUAAAAUGCUUUCUCACUUCCGAUAUAAACCUUCUUAUUGUUGUGUUUUAAUCAUUUGCUUCCAAACGGCCGAACAGAAAUGAUCAAUCUUCUAAGACACAAGCCAUUCCGUGAACUGCUGGGCACGUCUGAGCCUGAUCAACAACAAGCGCUACUGGAAACAGCAACCGCUGAGCAAGUACACUGCCUGUGUCUCUGUGUAGAAAACGUUAUGAAAAGAAAAUGUUUAAUGCCGAAGCAUGUAAUGAAGAAACUCCGACCUUACAAGCAUAAAAUGCCUAGGUUGGCAGAUGGAGGAAAAUGUGGAAGAAGAAAAAAACGGAUACUCGUUCAACAUGGCAACGGUUUCCUUGGACUGUUACUAAGUCCUAUUUUGGAAAGCCUGACUGAACUUCUAUAAAAGCCCUUUGAUUACAUUUUAUACAUCAUUUCAACAAUGAACAGCGACAGUAAAAC